GGAAAGGUGGCUGAGUGGUCCAAAGCGAGGGGUUGCUAACCCCUUGAGCAGCAAUGCUCGCGCGGGUUCAAAUCCCGCCCUUUCCGCAA
rnacentral:tRNA from 1 species